rnacentral:rRNA from 1 species
AUUCGGUCAUUUUCGUGGGGCUAUAAGCAGGGAUAGAGGAAACUGUCUUGAGUUUCUUGGGAUACCAUGAAUAUGCCACGCUACAUGGGAGGCCUCAGGUUUCGACAUUUUGAGAUAUUUAACUUGGCUCUUCUUGCAAGGCAAACAUCGACAAUUCUGGGUAAUCCUUCUUUCCUAGGUGCAAGAUUAUUGAAGGUUAUAUAUUUUCCUGGAUCUUCGCUUUUUGGUGCACAAGUUGGAAGCCACCCUUCCGAAGUUUGGAGGGCCAUUAUUGAGGGGAAGGACCUUAAACAGGGUUUGAUUAGGAAAAUUGGAAACGGAUCUACAACACAUACCUGGAACGAUAAUUGGCUACCCACAAAGGAGAUGAUAAGAGUCAUUGUCCCACUAAGUCAAAACCCACCCAUGAUGGUUUCGGAACUCAUUGACAGUACCAAUGCCAGACGGAAUGCAGAGGCAAAUAAUCAAGGUUUUUUUUUUCGAACCGAUUCCUUUGCCAUUCUAAAAAUUCCACUGUGCACGCAGAAUAUAGAUGAGUUUUAG